AAACAUUACACGAAAUGAGAAAUCCUUCUCUUCUAAAUAGUAUCAAGUAAUAACGUUGAUGCAGCGAGGGUUGGCUGUAUCGGGUUCCCACGCAAAUUGCAAUGAAACCAACUGGCCACAACGUUACCUGACACACGUGGCGCGUUGAUAAUUGAAAUUAUUUGACGACAACGAGCCACGCAGUCGAAACGUAAAACGUAUAAUUAAAGUUCAAGAUCGAGGCCCGGCUAUCGAUCGGGACACGCAGAGACCACAAAUUUCCUUUUGUCCGUGCUGAGAAGCUACGAGGUGAGAAGGUGAUUCGUGUGUUUUUUUCGGGAUUUCCACUGGUCCCAUUGAUUUUAGAGGAUUUCAGUACGAGCAUAGUUCGCUUAGAAAUUGAUUCCAACAUACUGGUAGCCGUUGCAGCUAAGAAUCUUCAUCAGAGGGAUUUAACGACACAGCAAAAUAUCUUUCCCCCUCGGCAAUUUCAAAAUAUUUUUUAAAACAUUACGAAGAAUGAAAGCAAAAAAUGGGAAUGGAUUAUGCAAAACUACGAAUAAUCUCGUUCGAUAAACUGUCCAUUUGCCAGAUAGACCCGUUCCUGUCCCCAACCGCGUCGAUCGAAUCAACGCGUCGCAGGGAUCUCCGUACAUUUCUCUAUCGCUCUUUCGGCUCUCUUGAAAAAAAAAAGUAGAAUACAACGAUAGACACAAGCAUCCAGCGUAACGAUCCAUCGAGGAAUUCGGGUGCGACGGAGAAAGGUUCGGCCGGAACGAGCACAAUGAGCACAGGAUAUCGAACAGAGUUGGCUGCGGCUCGCAGGAAAUUUAUGGUACGUCGCGAGGAUCCGCCUUGGCGUGCAAUAAGAUAGCGAGUUUGCGUGCCGGCCACGAGGAUAGCGUAGGUGUAAGUUUAUGCGGGUCGUUCCGUGCAUGGCCCCCUCGUUUCCUCCGUAAUUCCACCGGGUCGCGAAACUAUCCCGCGUGUGCUUCAGUCCGGACUGCCCCGUACUCUCCGUGUGUCCGUGUGCAUCCAGCUCGGGGCGUGUACUUUCCAUUGAAAUAUCGUCACGAGUGUCCGGACUGGCCAUGUUUCAGGUAGCCACUCGUCGAUAGCGAUUCGCGGAGUCUCUGUAUCGUUCGUGGAACGGGUUACAAGCGUGUAAUUUGCAACGGAACAACACCGUCCAGCUCUCGACGAUGCUCGUAUCGGAGGAAAAAGAAGCGACGUCGCGAAGCCGCUUCCGUGGCUGAGCGUUUUAUGUCGAGUGUGUCCUCGAACGCGAGCAACAAGCUUUAAUCGAGCGCGAUAACGCUACGUAUCGUGUCCCCGAUUCGUCAUCGAACUGCGCAUCUAUACGUCGACCAGACGAAACAAGAUUUACGAUUUCCAUCGGCAUUCUUUUUAUAAGGAUUCGGGAUUCUUAGCGAGAAGCGCCAACGUUCGAUCCUCGCUCAGUUGGUCGAUGUUUUCUCGUUGGGAAAAUCCACAGAGUUGAUGUACGCCGUCUGCGAUACUCUGUUCCGCCGUGAAAUCGUCGUCCGUGUAGUGGCCACUGAUCGGAAUUAGGUUUCUACGAUUGCCACGGAUCUUUGCUCGUUGCUGGUAGUAGUUUGCCGGCUUGAGAGGGCGGUUGAUUAAAUUUAACCUACAUUGCUGACACCUGAACCGAAGUAUUUGAUUAGACACGAACGAACGAUCACACGUCCGACCAAGGUGCAUCGAUCUUUCGGAUCGCAUCGACGCGGCGACUGUGCGUUAAAAUUUCGUCGAAUCGCAGACCGACGAGAUUAGAGGAAUAACUCGAGUCGCGUCGUCUCCGACCAUCGUUAAUAUCACAUCCGGUCGUGCGUUUUACCUUUUAAAUCAUCGCCAAAUCCUUAGAUUUGGGUAAAUGUAAAGCUAGCAACGUG